CUCAGGACGAACGCUGGCGGCGUGCUUAACACAUGCAAGUCGAACGGUAAGGCCCCAGCUUGCUGGGGUACACGAGUGGCGAACGGGUGAGUAACACGUGGGUGACCUGCCCCGCACUUCGGGAUAAGCCUGGGAAACUGGGUCUAAUACCGGAUAGGACCGCACCGUGAGGGUGUGGUGGAAAGUUUUUCGGUGUGGGAUGGGCCCGCGGCCUAUCAGCUUGUUGGUGGGGUAAUGGCCUACCAAGGCGGCGACGGGUAGCCGGCCUGAGAGGGUGGACGGCCACAUUGGGACUGAGACACGGCCCAGACUCCUACGGGAGGCAGCAGUGGGGAAUAUUGCACAAUGGGCGGAAGCCUGAUGCAGCGACGCCGCGUGGGGGAUGACGGCCUUCGGGUUGUAAACUCCUUUCACCAUCGACGAAGGUUUUCUGACGGUAGAUGGAGAAGAAGCACCGGCUAACUACGUGCCAGCAGCCGCGGUAAUACGUAGGGUGCGAGCGUUGUCCGGAAUUACUGGGCGUAAAGAGCUCGUAGGUGGUUUGUCGCGUCGUCUGUGAAAUUCCGGGGCUUAACUCCGGGCGUGCAGGCGAUACGGGCAUAACUUGAGUACUGUAGGGGAGACUGGAAUUCCUGGUGUAGCGGUGAAAUGCGCAGAUAUCAGGAGGAACACCGGUGGCGAAGGCGGGUCUCUGGGCA
rnacentral:rRNA from 1 species